CCUGAAGAGAAGUAAUCAAGAAUGUUUCAUUUCCUUUUGGAGGAAUACCUGUCUAAAAUAUAUUUAAUCCAAGCUUUUGUGAAGACGUUAUUGCUUUGGGAGAUGCAUACCUGGCCCUAUGAGGAGCAUCCAGCAAGGACCACUGACCACAGGGAAGAGCUCAGGAGCAAAGACAGCAUCAGACUCUUCCACAGGGGAUUAUGUCCCAGCCACUCCUUGACCUGCGGAGCAUUUGCACAGUCUGGGUUUACUCUCCCUCUCAAGCUGCAGAGAAGUUUUGCUGCUGUGCAUCAAACUGAGCAUAAAUUCAGCCUGCUAACCAUGAUCUGAAUCUAUAAUGAAUGACUUCUGAAUCUGUUCAGAAAUACUCUAUGAAUAUUUUAGUUAGAAAUAGGCAAUAACUCAGUCUGUGAAUGCAGUUUACGUAAGGUUGUAUGUUAUAUAGCAAUGAACAGGCAGAGUAUAGUAAAUCAACACAGCACUUCUUUCUAUUUUUGAGACAAUUCCUGAAUUUUCUUUGUAAUUUCUGACCACGUGAAAUGAGGCCAGCACCAGAAAUAUUAGUUAAGAGAGGUAGAAAAAACAAAUGGAAAACCUAUCCUCAUCUUAACUCUGUCCUCAACGAACAAGGAAUUUAGAAAAAUAACAACCAACAUUUCUUUAAGAACAUCACAAAGAUCUUAAGAACAAGAUUUCAGAGAUGAAAACUAUUCUGAAACUCUCCUUGGGAAUUACAGCUGUGCUGUGUGUCCGAAAAAGAGUGUGCUUCGGGGCACAAAGCUGCUGCUCUCCUGCACUCUCUCACAUGCUCAGUGUGACACAGACAGCUCAAACCCAUCUGCAAAAAGACAGCUAAAAUAAUUUAAAGUACAACUAUCAUUUCAGGCCUUCAUAAGCACAUCUCUGGUCCUGGAAAAAUGAAGCAUCUCUCACUGGUUUUCACUCUGCUCCCACUCAUUUUGUUGGGGCCAGGGGAUGGUCAGAACUUCUGAACAUGAGCUCUUGUUCAAGCUCUGAAGUUUGCAAAUUUGCAGGAAAGUUUUAU
rnacentral:lncRNA from 1 species